rnacentral:lncRNA from 1 species
CCAAAUUGAAAUUAUUCAUGAUUCCCCCAAAACCCCAAAUCACACCCGCCGCUUUCUUUCAUCCCGAACCUGAAGAUCAAAUCCGGCAGCCUGUGAUUGUCCCCGCCGGUAAACUAACUGCCGCGCACCGUUGGUCUUAGCUUGAAGACGAAAGCCCACCGAAACCCAACAUCGAAAUCCUAUUUGAAGACGGAAGUCGAAACGUAGAUGAUGGACAAAGGUAUUUUACUUCUUGGUUCUACAUAGGUUUGCUCAUACAUUGAAGUGGUAGUCGAAACAUAGAUUACGUAUGCCACAAGUAGCUCUCGGAAAGAAAAAAUGAUAUAUAGGAAUCAGAUUCCGAAGAUAAAGCUUACAGGAUUUAUAACAUCAAUUAUUUCACAUGCCUCUGAUUCAACAAAC